rnacentral:lncRNA from 1 species
CUUCUACUUGAACUAACUCCCACCUCCUACUAGUUGUUGUACUUGGUCGAUGUCACACAUGGCCAACCCACCUAAGUCUACCCUCUCUCAUCUUAUCGCCUAUUGGUGCCACACUUAAAUUCUACCGAAUAGAUUCAUUUCGAAUUCUAUCCCUUCUUGUCAUGCCACUCAUGCAUCUCAAUAUUCUCAUCUCCACUACAUUCAUUCUAUGAGUAUACUGUUUUUUGUCCGCCUAACAUUCAGCCUCAUGGAACAAAGUUGGUCUCACAGCUGUCCUAUAGAACUUGCCCUUCAACUUCAUUGGUAUGCGGCAAUCACAUAAAAUUCUAAUUGCACAGGCCAAGC